rnacentral:rRNA from 1 species
CCCUUAGAUGUCCGGGGCUGCACGCGCGCUACACUGAAGGAAUCAGCGUGCUAAAACCAUUGUCGAAAGGCAUUGGUAAACCCAUUAAAAUCCUACGUGAUUGGGAUCGGGAAUUGCAAUUAUUUCCCUUGAACGAGGAAUUCCCAGUAAGUGUGGGUCAUAAGCUCGCGUUGAUUACGUCCCUGCCCUUUGUACACACCGCCCGUCGCUGCCCGGGACUGAGCCGUUUCGAGAAAAGCGGGGACUGCUGCUGUCGGGGCUUUCGGGCCUUGGCUUCGGUGGAAACCGCUUUAAUCGCAGUGGCUUGACCCGGGCAAAAGUCGUAACA